rnacentral:rRNA from 1 species
CCAAUAGCGUAUAUUAAAGUUGUUGCAGUUAAAAAGCUCGUAGUUGAAUUUCGGGAUCAGUAGGUUGGUCGUGCCACUGGUACGUACUGGUCUCACUGAUUCUUCCUUUCUGAGGAGCUGUAAUGCCAUUCAUUUGGUGUUGCGGGGAAUCAGGACUGUUACUUUGAAAAAAUUAGAGUGUUUAAAGCAGGCUAACGCUUGAAUACAUUAGCAUGGAAUAAUGAAAUAGGACGUUCCAUUCUAUUUUGUUGGUUUCUAGGAUUGACGUAAUGAUUAAUAGGGAUAGUUGGGGGCAUUAGUAUUCAAUUGUCAGAGGUGAAAUUCUUGGAUUUAUUGAAGACUAACUACUGCGAAAGCAUUUGCCAAGGAUGUUUUCAUUAAUCAAGAACGAAAGUUAGGGGAUCGAAGACGAUCAGAUACCGUCGUAGUCUUAACCAUAAACUAUGCCGACUAGGGAUCGGAUGAUGUUGAUUUUUUAAUGACUCAUUCGGCACCUUACG